CUACUGACAACACGUAUAUUUCUCACGUGUUUCCAUGAAUAGUAACCACAAUUAAUAUCUUCUACUCUUUUGAAGGAUAUUCUAACGCUGAGAAGAAAUUCACGACAUUUAAGUAUAUCAUGGUACCAAUCAACACUGGCAACCACUGGAUCAUUUUGGUAGCCAAACCAGAAACAAAAACAGUUUCAGUUUUAAAUUCACUUUCUUUGAAGAGUGUAAAUAAAGAGUAUAUGGAAUAUUGGAGGAAAUUCAUGAAACUUAGGGGAGAGAAGAUAGAGGAAAGUCUGAUGGAAUGGGAAGAGGAGAAAGUUGUGGUCUGUCAUCAAGAAGAUGGAGAAAGUUGUGGGGUUUUAUACCUGAUUUUCAGUACGCGGAGGCGUUAAUGAUGGGCGUUCAUCCUAUAAUUAUGAGACAGCAACAUGUUCCAAUGUAAAGAAAAUAUAUUGCUGGGGCAUUAGUAUAUGCUGCAACCAUCACGUCAAACCUUUGCGACCUGUCGACUACAUGUAUCAAUCCGAAAAACAAAUGUAUCCAAUGGAUAGAAUGCGACAAUUGUGGGAAGUGGCAGCAUGUCAAAUGUGCCGGAAUCGAAAUGAAAGAUGUGCCGGACCAAUUUUACUGUGGUGACUGUCAUUAAUUAAUUGGAUCAAUGUGGGAGAUAAUUGAAAGGGUAUGUCACUCUGUCCAUCCACCACACUUUAUUGGGCAGAAUAACUCUGUUUCUAAUUGAGCUGGAAUAUUCAAACCUCUGUACCCAUCAGAUGUUUCAAUUGUUAUACGAUUUUAAAAACCAGUAUAUCAUGGUACGCAAAUAAUGUAAAAGUAUAUAUUAGGUCACAAUUUUUGGGUAAUUUUUUAUGCAAAAUAUUUUGAUAUUCACGCAUGUUGGAUCGAAACAACCAAGAUUAUGGUCCCUGAAUGUACCGAAAAUCACGUUUUUAGCUUGUGGUCCAUCUAGAGGUCACAUUUUAUCCCAUUUUAAAAACCGUUGUAAUUUAGCAGCUUGUGGUCCAUCUAGAUGUCACAUUUUAUCCCAUUUUAAAAACCGUUGUAAUUUAGCACUGUUACACUGUUGGUGUACCUACCUACCCCUUGUUCAAUACUGUGUUUUUGUUUAUUUGUAUGUAUUAUUUAAAGUAGUGAAAUUGUUAAUUGUGGAUUGUUUGUUAAAUGGGGAUUAUUGUUCAUUGUGGGUUAUUGUUAAAUGGGGAUUAGUUUUGAAAAGUUCUUUUUAUACGCCCAUCUUGAAAUGUGGUCGUAUAUUUUCAUCACCCCCGUCAUCAAGUGCUAUCUGUUUUUACUGAAAAUUCAAAUAUAUGUUUAUAUCCCGAUAUCUUGGUUCCUUGUGGACGCUCUACAUACUAAAGUAAAUACUUGAAAAUUAUAUCGAGUGUUUAAGGUCGUGAAAUGAAGAAUCCUAUUUUGAUUUUCACUGAUUUCCGAUAAUUACUGCUAUGGUUACGUUCCUUGAUCACUUUGAAAUAUCUUGUGGACACUAGAAGCUAAAGUUGACUUAAAAAUGUAUACACAAUGUUUUGGGUCAUGAGAUUAGUUUUUAAAUAUUUCCCAUAAUUACUGCCAGAGUUAACGCCCUUGAUUACUUCGAAAAAGUUUGGCAAAAGUAAUCAUUCGAUUGACUUUAGAUUGAUACACAUCUGUUAAGGUCUUGAGAUAAACAAGUACAUGUAUGUGGAUUUUCAAUGAUUAAAGCUUAUCAUUGGGCAAAGCAAGAAGCCAAACAAAUUCUAAUAAUUUUCUAUUAAUUACUUAAUGAGUUGUUACUCUUAAUCAGAUUUUAGUGUAUUAUAAAUGCUUCAUUACCAACAACUGUAGCAUAAUGUUGGUGUAUGGCAACCGCUUGUUUAAUACUGUGUUUUUGUGCAUUUAUAAGCUUAUGUGUUUUUAGUUAAUUGUUAAUUGGAGAUUAGUUUUUAUAUGGGGAUUAUUGUUACAUGGGAAUAUUUUUACAUGUGGAUUAUUUUUAAACACGCACAUUGAAAUGUGGUCGUAUAUUGUUGUUGCCCCCGUCUGUCCGGCGUCCACACUCUAGAGGCUAAAGUUAAUAUCAGAUUGACUUUAAAUUUAUACUGUUUAAGGUCACGAGACGAAGAAUCAAAUUAAUUUUCACCAAUUUCCGAUAAUUACUGCUAGAGUUAUGGUCCUUGAUCACUUUGAAAUAUCUUGUGGACAAUAGAAGCUAAAGUUAACAUCCGAUUGACUUUAAACUUAUACAGAUUGUUUAAGGUCAUGAGACAAAGAAUCGUAUUGAUUUUCAUUGAUUUCGGUUAAUUACUGCCAGAGUUAUGGCUCUUGUGGAGUCAACGUUAAUAUCCAAUUGGCUUUAAUUUUAUAUACAGUGUUUACGCCCAUAUAUAAUCGUUUCGAUUGACUUUAGAUUGAUACACAGAGUAUACUGAUUUUCAAUAACAGCUUAAUCUGUGGUAUUAAAUGUUUUGUAUACUAAACGUUAGCAUGGGCCAAACAAAUUCUAAUGAUUUUCUGAUAAUAUGCGACAACUCUUGUUGACUGCCCGGACGAUUUAGCUGCUGAGGGCGUAUGUUUCGUUGCCUGGCGACCUAUCUGUAAUUAUGAUAAAUAAAGAAUUCUU